UCGGGCGGUUCCCCUUCGGGGGACAGGGUGACAGGUGGUGCAUGGUUGUCGUCAGCUCGUGUCGUGAGAUGUUGGGUUAAGUCCCGCAACGAGCGCAACCCUCGACCUUAGUUGCCAGCAUUCAGUUGGGCACUCUAAGGUGACUGCCGGCUAAAAGUCGGAGGAAGGUGGGGAUGACGUCAAAUCAUCAUGCCCCUUAUGACCUGGGCUACACACGUGCUACAAUGGGCGGUACAAAGGGUCGCGAACCCGCGAGGGGGAGCCAAUCCCAAAAAGCCGCUCUCAGUUCGGAUUGCAGGCUGCAACUCGCCUGCAUGAAGCCGGAAUCGCUAGUAAUCGCGGAUCAGCAUGCCGCGGUGAGUACGUUCCCGGGCCUU
rnacentral:rRNA from 1 species